AAGAGAAGCUGAGUUGGAGAUCUAUGUAUAUAUUUAAUCUCACAGUGUCUCCCAUGUAUAUAGUUAAGUCAUGGCCAUCGGUCCUGACCCAGGAAGGGCUUCCAGGAAUUCCCCUGCCACGCACCUGCUGACUCACCCAGCUCAGACAGAGGUCCAGGGAUACGGGAUAUCACCACGUGAACGGGUCCUCCGGCACCAGACCUCGGACGCAGGUGGGCAACGGAGGAGAAACCCACUUUGACAUGAGGAGUCACCCCGUGGGAAGCUUUCUAGCAUCAGGCAUGGACAUUGAACUGUUCUCCAGUGUUUCACCGACCCUUAAAGCCAAGUAAAAACACAUUGAGAAAGUAGCCUUUGGUCUGAAUCGGACCGAAGAAACCUAAGAAGUAUGGCGAACCAGGAGGUAGCAGCUUCAUGGACGGCAGAGCUCCCCUAGGCUUCCUCCAGACCCUUGCGGUGGUGAGCCCUGGCUGAAACUGCCACCAUUCAUGGAUGGACACCAAGGAUCCCAUCUGGUAAAAGGACCACAGGCCAGAGUGACAUGGCCAGCAUGGGUUGGCCUGUAGGGAUAGACUUAUCCCAGGAAUUCAGGGUUCUUUCCUGAAUUCCUUUUGAAACAGUGAUCCCAACAAACAGACCGUGUGGAGCAUGUUUGUCGUCCGAAGCCUUCAAAGUUAAAAGUCGUAUGAUGUUGAUCACGAUAUGUAGUGAUUUAAAUAUUGAGCUUUGCUCCUGUUACUAACUCACUUUAGAUCGAUUAUACCUCAACUGCACUAAGUCUUUCUUGAGCAGGUGCAAACUACGUCUGAUGCCCGUCCCAGACACGUGCAGGCUCUGAGGUCCCGGUGCUAUUUGGGAUGUGAUGUCCCCAAACCCAGACCUGAGCACCUGGCUGCGGGGGGGUGGGAAGCGGGACUCCAUCACUAGGGGCAGUGAGAGAAGCCAAUGGGAGUCGACUCUUUUUGGAUGAACUAAAGUCAAAGGCAGGCACCUGGUUUGACUGAGUCACUGAUUCAACAAGGAAGGCAGGAAAUCCACUUCCAGGUGGGAGGCAAUGGGAAAACAAGUGAGGAAGAGAGAAGGGGAUGCAAGCAAGGUGUAAGAAACAUACUUUUGGGAAAUAAAUAAUUCACAAGUA